CCCCGCCGGUGGAUCCGGGGCCCCUGGCGAUAGGAUCGAUCCGUACAACACACAUCACCUCUGCGAGGGAAGCCGGUGGGAAUCCGGCGCUGACGCGCAGCCGUGAGUCGGGGACGCCCCGACGAGUCGGAAUGCUCGCUCCGGUGAUUCCAACCUC
rnacentral:ncRNA from 2 species